rnacentral:rRNA from 1 species
UGGGGCAGCAGGCUACUACCUUCGGGUAGUAGUGCUGGCGACCGGCAAACGGGUGAGUAACACGUAGCUUACCUACCCAUAGGUUGGGGAUAACAUCCCGAAAGGGGUGCUAAUACCCAAUAAUGAGGAGACUCCAAAGCCCUUAUGGGCGCCUAUGGAUGGGGCUGCGUCCCAUCAGCUAGUUGGUGAGGUAAUGGCUCACCAAGGCUACGACGGGUAACCGGUCUGAGAGGAUGACCGGUCACAGUGGGACUGAGACACGGCCCGCACCCCUACGGGGGGCAGCAGUGGGGAAUAUUGGGCAAUGGCCGAAAGGCUGACCCAGCAACGCCGCGUGGUGGAUGAAGCCCUUCGGGGUGUAAACACCUUUUCUGGGGGAAGAUAAUGACGGUACCCCAGGAAUAAGGGACGGCUAACUACGUGCCAGCAGCCGCGGUAAUACGUAGGUCCCGAACGUUGCGCGAAUUUACUGGGCGUAAAGGGUCCGUAGGCGGUUUAGCAAGUGGUUGGUGAAAUUUCACGGCUCAACCGUGAAACUGCCUUCCAAACUGCUAAACUUGAGGCAGGGAGAGGUCGGCGGAAUUCCCGGUGUAGCGGUGAAAUGCGUAGAUAUCGGGAGGAACACCAGUGGCGAAGGCGGCCCGACUGGAACUGUCCUGACGCUGAGGGACGAAAGCUAGGGGAGCAAACCGGAUUAGAUACCCGGGUAGUCCUAGCCGUAAACGAUGGAUGCUAGAUGUGGGCUACGAAAGUAGUCCGUGCCGUAAGCUAACGCGUUAAGCAUCCCGCCUGGGAAGUACGGCCGCAAGGUUGAAACUCAAAGGCAUUGACGGGGACCCGCACAACCGGUGGAGCGUCUGGUUUAAUUCGAUGCUAACCGAAUAACCUCACCAGGGUAUGACAUGCGGUGUGUCGGGUAUGAAAGUACCCUAGGCUAUGAUUAUUCAUAGCCGCGCCGCACAGGUGGCGCAUGGUCGUCGUCAGCUCGUGUCGUGAGAUGCUGGGUUAAGUCCCGCAACGAGCGCAACCUUUGUCCUGUGUUACCAGCGGGUAAUGCCGGGUACUCACAGGAGACUGCCGUCGAUAAGCCGGAGGGAGGAGGGGAUGACGUCAGAUCAGUAUGCCCUUU